rnacentral:rRNA from 1 species
UACGUAGGGGGCGAGCGUUGUCCGGAAUCAUUGGGCGUAAAGCGCGUGUAGGCGGUCCGGUAAGUCCGCUGUGAAAGUCGGGGGCUCAACCCUCGGAUGCCGGUGGAUACUGUCGGGCUUGAGUACGGAAGAGGCGAGUGGAAUUCCUGGUGUAGCGGUGAAAUGCGCAGAUAGUCAAGGAGGAACACCCGGAUGGCGAAGGCAGGUCUCUG